GCUCCAGCAGUCGGAUUUCUACUCCAAACUUCUAUUGCAAGCAGACUUCAUCUGAGCUUCUACAGUAAGUGGUCUCCAUCUAGAUUUUCACGGCAAUCGAUCUCCAUCUGAGCUUCUACAAUAAGCGGUCUCCAUCCAGACUUCCAUGGCAAUCGAUCUCCAUCCGAGCUUCUACGGUAAGCGACCUCCUUCUGGACUCCUAC
rnacentral:lncRNA from 1 species